rnacentral:rRNA from 1 species
UCCAGACUCCUACGGGAGGCAGCAGUGGGGAAUCUUCCGCAAUGGGCGAAAGCCUGACGGAGCAACGCCGCGUGAUCGAAUGAAGGCCUUCGGGUUGUAAAGAUCUGUUGACAGGGACGAAUAAGCAAUGCGAAUAGUUUUGUGUAUGACGGUACCUGUUUAGAAAGCUCCGGCUAACUACGUGCCAGCAGCCGCGGUAAUACGUAGGGAGCAAGCGUUGUCCGGAAUUACUGGGCGUAAAGGGCGCGUAGGUGGGCGCUUAAGUCAGGUGUGAAAACUCCGGGCUCAACCUGGAGACUGCACUUGAAACUGUUUCCCUUGAGUGUCGGAGAGGUAAUCGGAAUUCCUUGUGUAGCGGUGAAAUGCGUAGAUAUAAGGAAGAACACCAGUGGCGAAGGCGGAUUACUGGACGAUAACUGACGGUGAGGCGCGAAAGCGUGGGGAGCAAACAGGAUUAGAUACCCCUGUA